UGGAUUUGUUUCCUCUCUUCAUGUGAGCAGCAGAUUUAUAAUAAACCCCUCAGACUGCAUCCCCUGAGUUGUGUCCACUGAACAGAAAAACAGGAUGGCCAGGUACUGCGGAAGAGGACUGAGGUACAUGCUGUGAGCAACCAUUGCCAGCAGGUGCAGGAAUGCUGUAGGCGAACAUAUUACACCCAGUCUGAGAUGACAGCUGAAGGCCUGAAACAGCAGUGCGAGGAGUGUUAGAAUUCGGCAAUUCUAUCUAAUUGGAAACCCCACUGUGACUGGCAUGCAAGUGCCUUGUGCAAGAGGCCAUUUUUCAUGGGAAUGAGAAGCUCAUUUCUGACAUGAUAGAAAAUCCUAUGUCAAUGGUAUGGAGAACAAUUAUCCUUUUAGGGCACUCAUGAGUAAGGCUGCGAGUUUGUCACUGAGGUCAUGGACUCCAUGACUUUCCGUGACCUCUGUGACUUCUGCAGCAGCUGAUGUGGCUGGCCCGGGUGCCGUCUGAGCAGCUUGGGGGGCCCCUGGACCAGCCACACGAUCCGCUGCUGGGGCAGUCUCAGGACACCACCCCACUUCCCAAGCAGCAACAGGAGUUUGGGUGGGAGGCUUAGGGCUGGGGGUUGGGAGAUUCUCCAAUAUCAGAUGGCCAGAAAAAAAAAUCACAAACUAAGACCUCUGGAGGAGGAGGAAACAGAAACUGAUAGAACAAGGAAUUACAGAAUGAAAAUGAAGAUGGCUAAACCUACAUGGAAGAAAGGCCCGAAUAACAUAACAGGCAUUGGACUGGAACCCUCUAGACUAAGAGGUGACAAGGUUAGACCACGGACAAGGUGGAAACACACAAGAGAAGCAAAAUUGAAAGCUAAGACUGCAGAAGGAGACCAGCAAAGAUAGAAGCCAGUGGUGAAGACCCUAUGUUCCACAUGGAAUAGAGAUGCAUAAAAGAGAUUCCUAUUGAUGGGCCCAGAUUAAACCUCCCUGCUCUGAACAACCAAAAUUUGAACUCCUGUUUUGAUCUGACUUUUGCAAGUGGCCCUUGUCUUUAUAAUGGACUGCAGCAAAAACUUGAAUCUGGACAGCCCUCAACUUUGUGGCUUUACCACACCAGUGAUUCACAUGAGGUACUCGUCUUUGUUCUUUGUUCAAAGGAAAACCAGCCUGUGAACAGGGAGCAGCAGCCCGCGCGCGCGCGCUCUCUCUCUCUUUCCUUAACCAUAAAUUAACUCAUUCAUAUACUACGCCAA